AUGUGUGGAAUAUUUCCUCUUUGUUUUGCACACAGGACAACCGACCAGAGAGGCAGGAAGGACCUGGCAGGAGAGCAGGAGGCAAGAGGAGAGCCUAAGGAACUUCCUUUCACCUGCUCCGAGCUCCAGUCUGCAUCUCACCAGCAGCCACAGGCAACAAGGGCUCGUGCUACCGGUUACUUCCGGCACGUCCAUCUACAGCUGGCUGCACGGAGACUUUCAGUUUCUUUGGACAGAGGUAUUAUCAUCCAUGGGCCAGAGCACCAGCUGCCUGGAGCCCCCUGCUCAGAGGUUUGAGUUCAACCCUGGAUUGGUAGACAGUUGUACCUAUCCUCUGAGCUCCUACAGCCCCAGAUGUGUUGAUAUAGGUCCGUCAAUCCUGUCUGACUCUUUGUGACCCCAUGGACUGUAGCCCGCCAGGCUNNNNNNNNNNNNNNNNNNNNNNNNAAGAAUACUGGAGUGGGUAGCCAUUUCCUCCUCCAGGGGAUCUUCCCUACUCAGGGACAGAACCUGGGGCUGCAGCAUUGCAGGAAGAUUCUUUACCAUCUGAGCCACCGGGGAACCCACAGCCCCAGAAAUCUGAGCUACUUCUGGUCAUAAUUGCCCCUAUUACCUCAAGGAUCAUGUCUGGUUCUUCCAGCCUCUUAGUAUGUGUGUAGCCAAUUCCCCUUAAUAAAUUCCCUGUAUUUUAAAUACCUGGAGAGGUUUCUGUUUUCCUCAGCAGACCAAGAAACCUGGUCCGGGGUUUCAGUUUGAUUGAAAGCCUUUGGUUACUGUUGAAGUCAUAGCUUAUCUUUCUAAGAAAGCUUAAGAUGGACAAUAUUAACAACUGCAAAAUGAAUAUGUUCAAAUAUUUAAAGACUUAAAACAAAAAAAGGAUCAGAAAUGAGGAAAGUCACGGCAUUAUUAAAAGAUCAGGCAGGUUUAGAAAAGAACAAAAUAGGACUUGCAGUGGGCUUCCCAGGUGGCUUAGAGAUAGAGUCAACCUUUCAAUGCAGGCGAUGUAGGUUUGAUCCCUGGUAGGGAGAACUAAGAUCUCACAUGCACCUAAGCCCAAGUGCUGAAACGACUGAAGACACAAGAGAGUCCGUGCACCUCAACGUAAAGAUCCUUCAAGCACAACCACUAUGUGCUGAGACAGAGCCCAGGCAGUCAAAUUGAAAAAAAAAAGAACUACUAAAUGUAACUUACCAGGAGAAACUAAAAGAAGCAUGGCCUCAGACUUUUACACAGCAAGUAUUACUUCAAGAUAAAGUGGAACAGUGCUGGUCAUGACCACAAGGAAAUAAAAUGUGAUCCUUCAUUUUCAUGCCCAGCCUAACAAUGUAAUGUCAAGAAUCAGUAUUUUUGAACACGUCAGGAUGUGGACCAGAGCUCCCAUGGUGAUUUAGCCCAGCUGUUUGUGAUCUCAUGGACUGUAGCCCACCAGGCUCCUCUGUCCAUGGGAUUNNNNNNNNNNNNNNNNNNNNNNNNNNNNNNNNNNNNNNNNNNNNNNNNNNNNNNNNNNNNNNNNNNNNNNNNNNNNNNNNNNNNNNNNUCCUGCAUUGGCAGGCAGGUUCUCUACCACUAGCGCCACCUGGGAAGUCCCUUUUUCUCAUAAAACACCCCAAAUAUUAAGAAUCCUUUUUGGCCCCUGAUUUUUUUUCACCUAUCACUAUAUGUUGGAGCUCUUUCUGUAUGGAUACCUAGAGAGCUUUUCAUCUUUUAUACAGCCACAUAGAAUUACACUGCUUACAUGUACCAUAAAUCUGCUUCCUUUUGACGGAUACUUGAGCUGUUUCUAAUCACCUGCCACAUCAACGAAUGGAACCAUUUACAACCUUGUAAAAACUUUAUUUGAUGUAUAUCUAUAUAAAACAUACAUACACACACACACACACGCAUAUACAUAUAGCCAGCUUGUAAGCUAAAUCCUCCAAAACAGGAUGACCAAAUCAAAGGAUAAAUCCAGUUGUAGUAUUACAGAUAUUGCCAAAUUACCCUCUAUAAAAGUAGCAUGAGUUUGUAUACUUACCCGUAAUCCAUGCAUUCCUUUCCCCCAUAAAGUGUGUUAUCAGACUUUAGGAUUUUUGACACUCGGAAACACAGAAAUGGUAUUUAGUUGUUUGCAUUUCUCUUUUUGUCAAUGAGGUCAAGCAUCCUUGCAUAGAUUUACAAGCCAUUUUAAUUUCCUUUUUCAGGGAACUUUGUGUAUUUAUCUUUUGCCUGUAUUUGUAAUGGGUUGUUGGUCUUUCUCAUACUGAUUUUUUUUUUGAUUUGGCUGUGCCGGGUAUUAAUUGGAGCAAGCAAGAUCUUUAGUUGUGGCAUGCAAACUCUUAGUUGCAGUGAAUGGGAUCUAGUUCCCUGACCAGGGAUCAAACACCGUCCCCUCCAUUGGGAGCGUGGAGUCCUAGCAGAAACGAUUUCCAUAGUUCUUUGCAUAUUAGAAAUCCAUACGAGUUGUAAAUACAUCUCCCCAUUUGUUAUUUACCUUUUGAGUUUCGCUUAAGGUGUUUUCAUUUGCCACACAAGGUUUGUUCUUUAAGAAAAAGAAAACAAUAUUUUUCUCAACUUGGACACAAUCACAAAUUUACACCUCAUGGUGGAAGUACAGUACAAGCAGCUCUUACUUUCCAGAACCAUGUGCACGUAAUUCAGUCACUUGACGUCUCAUCAUCACGCUAAUAACAUGCCGGAACUUGUAUUUCUUACAGUCAUUCUCCUAAGAACCACAGCGCAACCGCAGAAUAACAGCUUACUAUCCCAGAGUCUUCAGACCUCAUUCAAGUCUCGCCAAUCGCCCCAGUGUUGUCUAGUUGCUAAGUUGUGUCCGAGUCUUUUGCAACCCCAUGGGCUGCAG
ensembl:lncRNA